GCUUGCACCGAGCGGAUGAGUUGCGAACGGGUGAGUAACGCGUAGGUAACCUGCCUGGUAGCGGGGGAUAACUAUUGGAAACGAUAGCUAAUACCGCAUAACAGUCGACAUUGCAUGAUGUUGAUUUGAAAGGGGCAAUUGCUCCACUACCAGAUGGACCUGCGUUGUAUUAGCUAGUUGGUGAGGUAACGGCUCACCAAGGCGACGAUACAUAGCCGACCUGAGAGGGUGAUCGGCCACACUGGGACUGAGACACGGCCCAGACUCCUACGGGAGGCAGCAGUAGGGAAUCUUCGGCAAUGGACGGAAGUCUGACCGAGCAACGCCGCGUGAGUGAAGAAGGUUUUCGGAUCGUAAAGCUCUGUUGUAAGAGAAGAACGAGUGUGAGAGUGGAAAGUUCACACUGUGACGGUAACUUACCAGAAAGGGACGGCUAACUACGUGCCAGCAGCCGCGGUAAUACGUAGGUCCCGAGCGUUAUCCGGAUUUAUUGGGCGUAAAGCGAGCGCAGGCGGUUAGAUAAGUCUGAAGUUAAAGGCUGUGGCUUAACCAUAGUACGCUUUGGAAACUGUUUAACUUGAGUGCAGAAGGGGAGAGUGGAAUUCCAUGUGUAGCGGUGAAAUGCGUAGAUAUAUGGAGGAACACCGGUGGCGAAAGCGGCUCUCUGGUCUGUAACUGACGCUGAGGCUCGAAAGCGU
rnacentral:rRNA from 1 species